rnacentral:rRNA from 1 species
UAACGGCGAGUGAAGAGGGAAGAGCCCAAGAUUGAAAGCUGGCGCCUUCGGCGUCCGCAUUGUAAUCUCAAGAAGUGUUUUCCGCUUCGGACCAUGCCUAAGUCCCUUGGAAAAGGGCAUCAUAGAGGGUGAUAAUCCCGUACAUGGCAUGGAGCGCCCGAAGCUUUGUGAUACGCUUUCUAAGAGUCGAGUUGUUUGGGAAUGCAGCUCAAAAUGGGUGGUAAAUGCCAUCUAAGGCUAAAUAUUGGGGAGAGACCGAUAGCGAACAAGUACAGUGAUGGAAAGAUGAAAAGAACUUUGAAAAGAGAGUUAAACAGUACGUGAAAUUGCCAAAAGGGAAGGGUAGGAGGUCAGAGAUGCGUCGCAGGAUUCAGCCUUGCUUUUGCUUGGUGUUUUUCCUGCGUUGCAGGCCAACGUCGGUUUUGGGCACUGGAGAAGGGUAGGAGGAACGUGGCACCUCUCGGGGUGUGUUAUAGCCUCCUACUGGAUACAGCGACCGAGACCGAGGAACGCAGCGUACUCGUAAGAGCGGGCCUUUUGGCACCUUUACGCUUAGGGCGUUGGCAUAAUGGCCCUCUACCACCCGUCUUGAAAC